rnacentral:rRNA from 1 species
CAGGAUGAACGCUAGCGGCAGGCUUAACACAUGCAAGUCGAGGGGCAGCGCGGGGCAGCAAUGUUCUGGCGGCGACCGGCGGAAGGGUGCGUAACGCGUGAGCGACAUGCCCGUUGCCCGGGGACAACCGGUGGAAACGCCGACUAAUCCCCGAUGGGACGGAGGCCCUCAUGGGUCUCCGUUGAAAGUUACGGCGGCGACGGAUUGGCUCGCGUCCGAUUAGCUUGUUGGCGGGGUAACGGCCCACCAAGGCUACGAUCGGUAGGGGUUCUGAGAGGAAGGUCCCCCACAAUGGAACUGAGACACGGUCCAUACUCCUACGGGAGGCAGCAGUGAGGAAUAUUGGUCAAUGGGCGGAAGCCUGAACCAGCCAUGCCGCGUGCGGGAAGGAGGCCCUAUGGGCUGUGAACCGCUUUUGCCUGGGGGCAAUAAGGGCGUCGUGCACGUCCGAUGAGAGUACCAGGCGAAUAAGCAUCGGCUAACUCCGUGCCAGCAGCCGCGGUAAUACGGGGGAUGCGAGCGUUAUCCGGAUUCAUUGGGUUUAAAGGGUGCGUAGGCUGUGCGUCAAGUCAGGGGUGAAAUUCCGGGGCUCAACUCC